AAAAGUAUCCACACUCUUAAAACACUGUAGAACUCUUGUUGAACAAGCCAAGAUAUGUAAAGGCAUUUUCUUUCUCUUUAAAAGCCCAUUUCAUUUUCUUUAAUUUCCCAAUUUCCUAAGGUUCAAACAAGCUCAACCGCUGCCGUCAAAUCCCCACAUUCUCGGCCGCCUUCUUACUCCUUCACUCAAUUUCCAUUUCUUCCACCUAUUCCCUCCAUUUCAAUGAAUUCCAUCAAGGACCCGAGGAAGCGGCAGGCGGAAUUCCCGCCUCGACGGGGUUUGAUCAAGAUCAAGAUCUUCCGGAGCAUUUUCAGGACGGUCAAAUCCAUACCGGAAGGAUUCGCAAGAAGCCGGCGGGAAGACGAAACUCCAACUUCCACUUCCACUUCCACUUCCACUUCCACUUCAACUUCGACAACGCCGGCUCCAGGUACUAGCGGGUAUAACUCGGAAGCUCAGCCCGAGUCAUGAGGAAGAGUUCCUGAGUCGAUCGGAAUCAUGAACUUGCUCGUUGAAUUUGUGGCCAAUUUUUUAUCGGGGUCUCGCUACCUACCUAUGAACUUCACACCAUAACGAUAAACUUUUCCCUUUCUUCUUCUUCUUUAAAAUUCUUUUUGUUUUUAUUUGUUAAAUGUAUAAUUCUUGAGACCCUCGUUUCUGUUGAUUUAGGCUUAGAUUGUAAUUAAUUUUAAUUACACUAUAAUUUUUUUACACAACUUGAGUGGAUCUUGUCUCUUGUUAUGUGGAUAUUGUAUUUGGAAUUUUGGGAAGAAUGUUUGAAAAUUACCCAUUGAAUUAGAUCGAGCUUAAAACACUCUCUGUUCAGUUCAAAACGAGAUCGCAAGGGUGAAAAACAGUGUAUUUUGAAUUCAAAACUGUGAAACGGAAUGCAAUUUGUCAUUAUAAAUUGGGCCUUAAACAUUGCAUCUCCAACUUGGAUUACAUUACCCUACAAACUCCUUUUUCAAUAUUUUGUUCUAUUUGUCCGAAUUACCUUUAUUAAUUAACCUUCUUGGGAUUUGUUUCUGUGUUUUCUUUUGGUUUGGAACUUUGGAUAAGAGGGUUGCGUUGUUCAUUUUUUCUCUCUUUCUGAUAAAUUACCCUAUCAAGUACUUUCUUGGGAUUUGAUUUCUUUAUUCUGUUUCUCUUUUGGAUGAUCCCAUUUUUUUUCUUCUUGUGUUGAAAUUUGAUUGGCUCCCUCUUCUCUGUUCAUUUCCCUUUUUAGAUUCUUUUUGAAAAUUUUGCACUCUCUAGUCUCUAUCUAUUUGAUGUGUGUCUAAAUCUUAUCAACUAUAGUAAAAAAAAAAAAAUAUUGGGUUAUAUUAACCAUUUAUUUAGGUGGGGUUAUUUUAUAUUAGAUUAAUGUAAGAAUAAGGUGGAAUAUACUAAAGAAAUUUCCAAAAGGGAAUAUAUCAUUAUGACCACCAUUUAGUUAAAGACUUUUCCCAUUAGUAGUGACUGUGAAGAAUAGCAAAAAAAGAUGCAAUUUGGUUUUGUGAAGAUUGAGAAAAAGAAAAAGGCAAAGAUAAAAAAGGAAUAGAGAAGAGAAACUUUGAAAAAGUACCAUUUGGUUUGUUGAAGAUUGAAUGAACAAAAAGAAAGAAAAAGGUUGCACUUUUAAUGGGUGCAUUCUAAUUAAUUACUAUAACUAAACAACAAAGUACUUCUCUUUCACCCUCUAUAAAUAUUCUCUCACAUUAAUCACUUUUGUCAUUUAAUUUUACCAGAUCUAGGCAUACAAAUAAUGAAUGCAACUCUCUUCACAUUUCCCAUUUUAAAUACUUAUUCAUAUAUAUUUUAAUAAAUAUUAAAUUUAGCUCCUAUGGUUCGUUUCUAUCAAAUAUUGAUUAAAUAAUUGUAGUAAUUUCCAAUUUAUAGUAAAAAAAAAGUUGAUAAAUAACUAACAUAUAUGUUUAGAAAAAUCAAACUCUCAAAUUUGUACCAUUGUCACCAUUUUUAAGUUAAUAGAUCAAUUUUAAUUUAAUUGCUACAAAAAUGUUUUUUUUUUUUUUGCAACUUUUGUUUUCUUAGAAUUACUUUCAAAUAUCAAUAAUCUAAAAAAAUGAAAGAAAAAAAAGAAAUCAAAUUCAAAAUGUGAUUUUUUUUCUGCAAAGGUAUUGUAAUAAAUGUUGGGUGAACCUCUUGGCCAUAGAAAGAAUUUUUGUCCACAGAAACAUACAAGUGUCAGUUGAGCUAAGCUGAUAUUGACUCAAAAUGUGAUUUUUCUUCCAUCCUUUUUUCAACUUGGUGAUUCUCAAUCAAACGACUUCUAUAUUAAAAACAUAAUUGUAGUUUAUCACGUGACCCAAUCAUCUAUUAAUAAAUUAAUAAUGAUAUUUUUUUUUGGUAAUUUUAUAUUUUAAAAUCUCAAUAUAUUAAAAUUAUUCAUUCCUUAUAGUCUCCUCUUCCACUUCUAGAAGUUAUAUUUCAUUCUAUAGUAAGCAUUCUUUUAUAAUUAUAUAUCUACAUAAAAGGCUAAUUAUAUUGUCAUUACAAUGAAGUUAGAAAUUACUUUUGAUUUGAUCGGUAAAUUAUUACCUACUUAAGUUUAGAGACUUGUUACUUUUACAAAAAAUUGGUGUAAUGUUCUAGGUUCGGAAUUUGACAACUAAUGGCGGCCCCGACACCUCUAUGUGUCUCGUUGACCUAACAAUAUCAUUACUACUUGUCUUGGCGGUUUAUAAGAUUGAACUACUAUCCUCAUAGAUCAAUACUCGAUCAUUUCAAUAUUUUUUUUUCUCUCUCACAUGAAUUCUAAAAGAUUUCUUAGGAGAUCACCAAACAUAAAAUUGCUCGUUUAAGCACACCAGUACUCGAUCAUUUUCUUAAGUCUUUCUCAACCACGCUCUCAUGUCCUUAGAAUACUUCUCAUUCGAAUAUAAUCUCAAUUCACUUUGAAUAUAAUCUCACCUUAUCUAGAUCUAGUUAGGGACGUUACACUUCGGGAACAAAAAUAAUGAUUAUGAACCUUUAAAACUAAGUCAAGAAAUCAUUAUAUAUUUAUAUAAAGUGUCGUACGAAUUCUAAUUUAGCUUGACGAAUAAAAUACUAAUUAUCAUUUUAAAGGUAUGGUUGAAUUUAUGAGUCAUAAACUUUGAGACUCGAACAAAAAUUGGAGCAUACAAAAAUUGUUCUUAUUGUGAGGAUAUCUAUUACAUAUAUUAAAUAUAUAAUUCUUCAAAUUAUAUUGUUAUUAUCUUUCAUUUGCAAAAGAAUAAAUUCAAAUAAUGGAAUCUCCCUUUUGGAAAUUAAAAUUUUGAAUUUUCAAACAAACAUCCAAUAAGAUUGAAGAUACUAAAAUUUACAUAUGAUGUGCAGAUCAUUCAAGAUCUUUAGAAAAGUUUUUAACUUUGUUUUUAUCUAAAAGUUAAAAUUAAAGAAUCAGAUUCCUGAAGUCAUAUACUAUAAUAUAUAUAAUUAAAAUAAAGUUUAUGAGGGAUGAUAUAACUAAAUUAAAGUAGCCCUUGAGAUUAUUAUUCCACUUUAUAAUUCCACUUUAUAAUUGGAUAAGGGUAUAUUUGUAAUUUUGUAACACCAAUCAUAUGCAUGUUUCUAUACUAAUAAUACAUUUAAAAAAAUAAACAUUUUUUAUCUUAUUAUAAUAAUAGCAAUAGUAAAAUAACUUGAUUUUUUUUAAUUUCAACUAUUAUUGGGAUAAAAAUACGAAUCUUUUAACUUUUUAGUGGAAGAUAUAUAUUAUCUUAAUCAGCUAAACAAUACUCGUGUGUUAUCAAUGAUGACAAAGUAAGAAUUUUCCAUAAAUAAUCCUUGAAUGAUCUUUGUUCGACUGUAUCAAUGACUCUUGCAUGAUUUAUGGAUGAUCAAUAUGUGUGGAGAGGAUCUACAUAAGUCAAUACACAUGCCAAAUUUUUAAUUUAGACAAGCUGUGUAAGUAAUUAAACUAAAUUAAAUUAAGAGUAGUUUAGAUUCAUAAGUAAUGAUCCAAUUAAAUGGAUGAUGAAUCUUUUUAAUAUCAAUAUCAUUUGGGUCGGUUACAUCUAUCCUUCACUAUGCUAUUAUCAAACUAAUCACAAAUGCAAAUUAAAUUUGAGCAUUGAAGUGCGUGAUUUGACACCACAUUUAAUGCAGGUUAAGUUUCAAUCCCUUCAACAUAAGUUUCCCCUAGCUAUCUAAAAAUCUCCCUUCUUUUGCUGGAAUGAAAGGACACAAAAGAUUCAUAUAAAAUAAAGAAGAAAUUUCUUUUUAUUAUGAAGUUUUCUUUAAUGAAAAGUUCAGUUGGAAUUUCUUACUAAAAAAAAUCUUCACAAAGAAAAAAAUAAUAACAAUAAUCUUGAGAGAUUUUGUGAAGAUUUUAAGUAAUAAAUUUAGGUUUAUUUUCACACUUGGCUUAGUUGACGUAAAGCCAUUGGACAAAAGUUUUAUUUCAUUCAUUUUGAUGAAUUAUUUUAUCUUUUUCCAUUUCCUUGACCGGACAAAGCACUUUAAGAAAUUGAUUUGCUUAAUUACGUCAUAUUUUUCUUAUUUUAUUUUUAAAGUAAUAUCAAAUUCUAAAAUCUAACCGACAAUAUUAUUAUAAAUAACAAAGCUACGUAAAAUAAUUACAAUACACAAUUCAAACGUGUAUUUUUUUCUAAUAAAAUUUUCGAACCAACAAAGAAAAUCAAUGGAAUUAGGUCUUACAAGGUCCAAGUAAUUCCCUUUCCCCCCCUUUCUUUUCAUAGUUUCACACCUGCUUUAUUCAUUAGUCAAUGGACUCUUUUAUCUUAUUUUAUUUUAUUAAUUUUAUUUUGAUAUUGAAAAUUCUCCAUUUGAAAAGUUACAGAGAUCAAAGAGAAGCAAUUAGAGGCUAAGAAAAAAGAAAUAAUAUAUAUAAAAUACAAAAAGUGACCACAAAAUUAGUUGACCAUCUCAUCUAAAUUAUGAUAUAUUUGAGUCAAUAUACACUGAACAUUUCUUGUCCCAUUUUAUUAAUUUAAGUAUGUUGAUGGAUAUAUCAACCAGUGGCCAACAAAUUUCUUAAUCUCAACCUCUUCUGACCUAAUGACUAUGAUAUGCAUACAAAUCAUGGAUAAAGAUACAGAGAGUGGAAGAUUAUGUUAUGAUCUUUAAUCAAGUGUUUUCAAGAUUGAAGGCUUACAUCCUAUAUCACUCUCUUCAAUUUAAUUACAUAUGUGUGAAUAAGAUAGUUAUCAUUUUAAAAUGUAAUCUUAAUAACUAAAUUUCUAACAAGAUUGUUGUGGUGAACAUUUGAUCUUGAUCAUGUCAAUAGUAAAAACUUAUACUCUCAACUAAAAUUUUAAUCAAUUAUUAUUUUUUAGUACAAAUUGAGGGUGAGAAAUUUGAAUUCGGGAUAAUUUUAUCAUCAUGUACAUACAUGUGUUAGUCGAUCAACUAAGCUCAUAUUGACCAUUAUUAACUGUUUUAUUAUACUAAUAACAUUACCUAAUCAAUUCUUAUGAUAAAUUUAAUGAGAUUUAAUUAAUAAAUAAAAUGAUAGUAGUAUGUUAAAUUAUUUAUUAGUCCAUUCAACCUACAUAUAGAACGAAUAAAGAUGGAAAGUAUUUUAAUAGAGAUUAGGUGAAAUGAACUAUUUUGAUGAGUAAUUGAAGAAGAGAGUUGGUCUAAAGAAGAAAGAAGUUAUUUAUUUCAUUUGAAAAACAAUAGAAGAUUAAAAUACUUUUGCAUGAAGAUGAGGAAUAUAUAGUUAAUUAAAUGAUGAUUUAAGAAAAAGUAGUUUAAUUAAAAUCUUAUCAAAUGUGUAAUGACUAUACAUAGAAUAAAAGUGGAAUACGUUGUAGCUGUCCAUUUUCCAUUGAAUUCAACACUCAAUUGAAUGCUUCAAUUAAAAAAAAAAAAAAAGACCAUUCUUUUUAUAGAAUCAUUGAUAUAUACAAUGUAUAGUACUGUUUUUUAAAAAAAUUGACCAUUUCUUUUUAUAGAAUCAUUGAUAUAUAUAAUGUAUAGUACUAUUUUUGGUAUUAGGGUUUAUAAUCUUCAAAAUGUAAGAUUGCUUACUUGCUAAGUUUGUUGUUAUCUACUUAAAUCAAAUUAAAUUAGAAAGUUUUGAAAUCUUAAGCUUUGAUUUUGAUAGUAAUUUCACUUAGUGCACAUUUUCCCAUACACAAUCACAUUUAUCGGUUAAUUAAUGUAAUAUCAUUAAAGUAUUUUUGUUGUUAAUGAUUUUUCUUUAUGAACGGCCGUCAUCUCGAUAAUGUAUUUUUUCCAUGGACCACUUUACGAUCUUUAAUAUUAGAGAAAAUUUUUAAAAAAUAUGUUUCAAGGGUCGGUGAUUCUAUUCAAUAUUUUGAAGUCCAUUACCAAAAUUAUUAGAGACGGUAGAAUAUAUGUUUGGUCAUGAAGAAUUAAAGAGGACAAUAAAUGAGUCAAUUUAAAUUCAUGAAUAAAAUUGAAAAUAAAUUCAAGAAAUUAAAGAUGAAAUAUUUGAGAAAACUUAGGACUUGUGGGACGGGCAGAAUCAGGAGGGGUGUUUGGCUUUUUGUCAAAAGAACUUUUUGACAAAAACGUCGGCCUAUCAUGCUUUUAUAAAAAUCUCAUUUUGCAUUAUUGCAUGUCCUUCCUACUAUUCACUAGUAUAUUAGUUGAAUACAUAGUACUUCAUGUAUCAUGCAUGUAUUAAAUAUUGUAUAAUUCGAAAUAGGACGAAUAUGAUUCAAAUCUAACCGACUUCCGAAGUAAAGUAAAAAUAGUUAAAUGAUUGAAAUAUAACAUUAAUUUAAUUGGAGACGCCUACAUUUUUCCUAGUGAUUAUCAUAUAAAUCUAGCCGAAUGAAUGAAGAGAUAAAAAGCAAUCAAUAUAUUUUGUAUAUUUUUAAAAUUUAAAUUCUUAGUGUGAUAUCAAAUUUAUUUUGAAUUUAUUUUGGUUGAACUAAUUUUAAAAAAUAUUUACAAUUAUUCAGUAUUAAUUUGUUUAUUACUUAAUUUUGUGAUUUUGAUGUAUAACAUAUAUUUUACAUUUUUAUCUUAUUCGUUUUUUAUCACUUUAAAAUGUAAUAAUCAACCAAUAAUCUACUGCAACUUUUAUCUGAUUUUAUUUAGAAUAUUAUUAACUAAGUUGUUUUGUAAUUAAUUAUCUUUGUUUAUGAACCACCGUCUCUGUAAUGUAUAUUUAUAUGUUUGGUAGUUAAUUAAUUUAGAAUAUCAUUAAGUUGUUUUAUAAUUAAUGAUCUUCUCUUUAUGGACCAAUUCCACCUUAAUAUUAGAGAAGAUUUUGAAUAUUAUUAGAAACAAUCUUACACCUACAUGUUAUUAUUAGCUUCACUUACAAAACAAACAUAAGGCUAAUUUACAAAUAAAUACAAAAGAGCUUUGAUCCAAUAUUUCAAACCCAUUAUCAAGAUUAGAAACUAGAAUAUGUUUUGGCCAUGGAUGAGCCAAAUUGGGAAUAAAUUGAAGAGGGACAAAGGAUGAAAGAGUGGUGUGUGGCACUAUUGCACUCUUAAUUAGGUCUACUUAUGUUUUAUAUUGGAGUUCUAAGGUUUAGGGUUUGAUAUAUAAAGACCUUAAUUAUUAAAUUCAGCCCAAUUCUCUAAUUAAUUAACUUUCAUCCUUGGUUAAUUAAGCUAUUAUGUAUUUGUAUUUGUUGUUAGUUUAUGGUUUAACUUCAAUUAGAUUUAGAGUUAAGUGUAUUAGGGUUGUUCAAUUAUAAUUUUCUGUACCAUAAACCUCUAGAUCUAGCUAUAAAACUACAAGUGAGUCUUACCCCAUAUUGAUACUGUGAUUAAUAUAUUUUGCUUGUUGUGUGAUUUAUACGUGCUACGUGAUAUAUAACAUAGGUAGGGUGUCGAGUUUUAAUACAAUAACGGUGUAUGAUUGUCCAAUUCAUCUUCAAAAUUGAAUUUAUAGUUUAAUUGAAUGUGAUAGUUACAACCACCUAAUUUUAUGUUUGAGUAUGUAAAUGAUAGAUUGAAAUUAAGCAUAAAAAACUAAACCUAAAACUAAUAUAUGGAUGGAAUUGUGUAAGAGUCUACAUAUUCAUCUUUUGGUUCGAGUGGUCAAAAUGUACUGCAUGUUCUUAAUUCUUUUGCAAUUCUUUGUACAAACUUCUCUAACUUUUCGAUUUUGGCUGCAUACUAUAAGUUGAAUUUUGACCAAAUAUUAAAAGUUGUUUUUAACGAAGUUAUUUUGUUUUUUUUUUUUCAUCUAAAUUUGAUUGGAAAUUCAAACUCUUUUACUAAUUUUAAAUUUGUAUAGUAUAGGAGUAUGUCAAAGAAUAAUAUACCUAGUUAUUAAAUUUUAAAUUUUAAAUUCAAACUGCAUACUGUGAUUGUGCAGUUAUGUUUCAGAUGCUUCGCCAUAGAAUUUUAUUUGGUUGAUCAUUUUACUGGAUCUUACAUUCAUGCCUUCGUUUGACAGCUGUUCGAUCAGGGAUGUAUUUAUUUUAGAAUUUAACUGACUUUAAAGUUAAAUAGUACAAAUGGUGAAUUGAAUAAGGCUCACUUUUUGACGAUAGUGACACUUGUUAAUCUUUAUAUAAUUUUUUAAAAAAAGGAAUUUGACAAUUAUCCUAAAAUUAAUAAAGUUGUAAGUCUUUUGAUUUGUUCCCUAGUUCAAUCAUUAUGUGAAAUUAACACUUCACCCCAAGUGCAUCAUUCUAUCUUCUUCGUUUUGCAACUUUAUUUUAACGUUUUUGUACGUUAAUUCUUCCCUUUUUUCUUUUCUAUUUCUUAUAUGAUUCUUCUCUUGUUUCUUUUUAUCCUUUGCAUUCCUUUUUCUAGUUUCUUCUUCCUCUUUUUUCUUGCAUUUCUAUUCCUUCCAUAUUUGUUUAAGCACCAUUUAAUUUAGCAAUCAUAUGGCAUAGAGCGUAAAAGGUAUAACAUCAAGUAUUAAACUUUGAGAGCAUAGACUAUUGAGCAUUAAGCGUUGAACGUUGAGUUAACUUUUGAAUCAAGCAUAGAAUACAGAGCGUAAAUCUUGAGCAUCAAGUAAUCUUCUUAGAUUCGAAUAAUCAGUAAAUUCACAAGAUAGUUAGCAAGACCAACACUCGUUUUCUUUCUUUUCUUUUUUGAGAUAAAAGAAAUCUUCGUAGGUAAACAAUUGAAUAAUGAGGAUUACACUUUGGAUAAUCAACAAUUUUAGAACAAAUUGCAAAAACUACCUCUAAUGUAUGGUGGAAGUUACAAUUACACUCUUAAACUUUCAAUUGUAAAAAUUAUACAAACUUUUAAAAUUGUUAAAAUUAAACCUUCAAACUUAGACUAAUGGUAGAAAUUGAACCAACAAAUGAUAAAAUUUGAACCUCAAACUUAAGAAUUAUUACAAUUUAUACAAUUAUGUAAGUAUAAGCGUUCAAUUUUAACACUCACACACGUUUUAGGCUUAAUUUUUAAAUUUGAAAGUUUAUGGGUGUAAUUGCAACUUCCACCAUAUUUUAAGAGUGAGCAUGAUAAAUCGAAAAAUUGAGUCGACUGACCAAUAUUAAUAAAAAAAACGAAAGUAAAUUGGUUGGAGAAAGAAGGGUCUGUCUAUCCAUUUGUGAAAACCCCCCACAACAUUUUGAAAAAGAAUUUAAAGAAUUAAAACUAAUUAUUGACUAAUCAAUUAUCAUUUUAACUCGUUCAUGUUGGAAUCAGUUUGAAUAUUUGACUGAACUGACCUAUGGAUGCUUACCCCUAAAUGUCACGAUGGUUUAAUUUGCAAUUUAUUCCAAAAACAUAUAUUACCCAAUGAGGCAAAGUAUAGUGCGCCAUUAUUUAUUUAUUUUCCCUCUUCUUAAAUGGAAGUCCUAUCUAAUUUUAAUAAUUUAAAUUUUAAAUCUUUUUUAUGAAACUGAUAAAGGUGUGAGUGAUAAUUUUUACAACAAUUUUGGGUUAUAUCUUAUUCUUUUUUUUAAAAAUCAUACUAUCCUAUUUUUGCUACUAUUUCUUAAUAAAAGAACAUUAUUUGAAAAAAAAACUCCCUAAAAGUAUAAUAUAUGGACAGAUGAAAAAAAAACUCGUCGACCCAACCCGACUUCUUUUAGUUAUUUUGGGUUGGGUUCGACCUUUGCUUAUUGAACCAAUAGGUUCCUCCUCAGUCGUCUUUCUUCUCCAUCUCUACUCUAAGGCAACUCGGCGCCGGCCGUCAUCGCUCAAUUGCUCAGUGCAAUUGUUUUGAUUUCGAAUCUUUCACAAUCCCAAUCCCAAGUUUCCAAAUACCUUCUUCUCUCUCUUCAAAACCCCGCUUGGGAUUGCUACAGACCACCAUGAACACACUUCCGGCGAAAAUGGCUGACAGUCUCUCUCUAAUCAGAACGUUUACAACUUUUCCCUCUUCUCAACUGGGUUCGUUUCAAUCUUUCAUCCCCUUUAUCCUUUUGUAUGUUUAUUGUAGGAUUGAAACAUGAAUUGACAUAAAUUAUUAUAUUUUAGGUUCUUCCAAUUAUGGGAUAGUUUCGUUCUUGCAACGAAAUAGAGGAUCAAGGGUUAGUUUUCUUAAAACGAAUUGGAGUUUAGAGAAGUGUUGUAUGCGUGUGGAGAAUUGUUUGCAAGCACUUCGUCCUGCCUCUGAAGCUUUUGCUCAAGAGGCUACAGAUGCUCUUAAAGCUGGGAAGGUUAUUGCUGUCCCCACUGAUACUCUUUAUGGACUCGCUUGUGAUGCUUGGUAUGCUAUUCCUAUUAUGGGUUUUUUGUGCAAUCGUCUUAUUUUGUGAGUUUUGAUUUUUUUUGGUGUGGAAGUUGAUGUUACAACACCUGUUUGUUUUUUUUUUUUUUUUUUUUUUUUUUUGUCAAUGAGGAUAGUGCUUUAUAAAUAGUAGUACAAUCUUUCUUAAGAGGGGAGAUUGAUAUAUCAGUGGUCUUGUUUAGUACAAACAAAGUUCUUGGUGAGAGGUCUUGGUCAGGAGUGCUCACUCCCUUGGUUGUGUCAUGGGUGGUGAUCGUAGGAGAUGUCACAUUAUUGUUAAAAUUAAGACUCUUUUGAGUUGGCGCUUGGCCGGUAGUCAUCUAGGAGGAAUAUGGUGGAUGGUGACUGGUGAUGGGGAACAGCAGGGGGAGGUUUCUUAUUUAGUUAGCAUGGUUAAGAAAUGCUUAAAGAACUGAUUGCUAUUACCAUACCAUCAAAGUGUAUCUUUCUGUUUGGUAGGUCAAUCAUAGGAACUCCAGAAUUAUACAUGCUUAGUUUGAAGCAAUUCUAUAUUAGGUGACCUGAAAAUAUUCCUAGAAAGCAUGUGGGUGCGAACCAAACAUGUUGAAAAGACUCGUGUUGGUUUGUGGAGACAAUCUUCACUCUUGGAAGCAGUUUAAGACGAGCAAACAGUGUGACCAAGUCACUAGAGAAUGCCGGGGCUAUCAAGUUCCAAAUCUGAAUUCCAAAUUCUAGUUUGAAUCUUGGGCUCGGGGCAUUAUGAAAAUUUUGUGAAAAAAAAAAUAUUGGGAGAGAUGUGGUUAGGAUUCCUUGUUUGGGCCUUAGUUCUUUAGGAUUUCUGUAUUUAUCUCUCUUAUGCACAACAACUAGGACUCUUUUUUGUUUUAACAUUUUUGUUAGGCUAAUAUUGUGGUAGGCUCUUAUUCCUUUUUAUUUUUUAUUUUUUAUAUGUAGUAUGUAUUCUUUCACUUGUACUAACGAUAGCUUAUGCUCAGUUUUCAUAAAAAAUAACAAUAGAAAAUAGACUUUUAUGUAAAAUUUUAUUCUUAAACUUCAACAUCAAUAUUUAUUUGCUGAUCUGUGCAUAAGUCAGUUGACUGUUUAUAAGAAGAUAAAAUCAUCUUUUUUUUUAAAAAUCUCAAAGAUGACAGUGAGCGAUUACGUAAAAAACUUUCAUUUAUUUGAUUGCCUACAUCUCUCUUAGUUGGCUCUUUCUUGUUCCAAAAUCCACCAUAUUUCCCGUUUGAUAGAAUAAUUAUUUUACUGCAUGAAUUCUGAGGUAAAUACUGCAUAGUGAUAUACAAUGUUAUAAAAUUGAGAGAUACUUCUGAAAUACAUCCUUGUGUUGGAACAUACUCGUUACCAGGCCCCACAGUCUUGAGGAAUAUAAAAUGGUUAUCGAUUUGGUAUAAAUAUUGAUAAGUUUUUCAACUUCGUAAAAACACUCUUCUUUCAUGUAAUUAUAGUGUAAUUAUAGGAAGUAUAUUCUAUAAUGUUGUUAAACAAUGAGAUCUGUCUUUCCGUAAUGGAGGGUAACGCAAUAUUCAUUUUCAAAGCACAUGCGCAAAAAGUUGAUGAACAAAAUUAGAGAGGUUUUUUUUUUUUUUUUUUUUUGUGAAACUAUAUGAUCAAAGCAACCAUAAAAUUAAUCACGUUGCAGUUUGCUUUUAUUUAAUUGUGGCUUCUGUGGGAAUUGAUUUUGCAGUUCUGCUGAAGCAGUCCAUAGGAUUUAUGAAAUUAAAGGACGUAAACUUACAAGCCCUCUCGCCAUUUGUGUUGGUGAUGUCUCUGACAUAACUCGCUUUGCUGUAACAGACCAUUUGCCUUCUGGUUUGCUUGAUUCUCUCCUUCCUGGGCCUGUGACUGUUGUUCUGAAAAGAGGUAUAUAUCAGAAAUCUGCUUGUUUAUGCUGAGGUAGUUAAUAGUGCAUUAAAGGUUGAAAGUGGUUUUGAACAAGUAGCAUUUAGGAGCAUUGUUUGAUUGAAAUAAAGUAAAUAGGUUGAACAACAUUUCUGAUCCUUAGACUGAAGGAGCAAUUGAAUCGAUAAACUUUGGAUUGUUCAUGUACUUUAAAUUUAUACUAAUCUAACCUCUAUUUAAUUCAAAAUGUUCUGUCAAAAGUGUCAACUUUUAUAAUGCAAUGACUUAAAGUCUUUAUUUCUUAGAUACACCUAUGGUAUCUAAUUUGUUUUUCAAUCUACGUUUGGAAGAAGUCUCGUUAAAUCUUUAACAAUAUUUAUUCACGAUAGGGUCUAAAGUCACUAAACUGUUACUUCCAUUUAAGAUAAGGGACUAAAAAUGCCUUUUGUAACCAAGAAAGAGUUCUUGAGAAACUUUUAUAGGUAGGGUAUUUAACAACAGUUGGGCUGGUUAUGAUAAUCUUUCAGAUAUUCUGUUCUCUUCUUUUCACCUGAUCCCAUAUCAUUUCUUGGUGACUUGUAACCUAUUGUUAUAAGUGAGAAGCAGAUGGGGCUUUGAGAGAGCUAUGAGUUCUUGCGAGCUUACUUAUUAACAUUUUUCUCUCUUACCAAACUUUAGCAGAAAAUUAUUUUCUUCAAAGCAAUUUCAAAUGCCCUUCUUGGAAAUUAGUAUAUCUCACCAACUAUAAAAAUAAGAUAUUAAUUUUUCACUUCCCUUGUUUUGUUGGAUUGUUCUAUAUUAUUUAAAUAGUUGCCCCCUCCUCCAUGUUACAACCUGCAUAUCUGAGAUUAUGUUCAGUUAUAUUUUAGUCUCCAAACUUCCCGUUGUCUGAGUUUUUACAUUUUAGGUAUUUUGCAGGUGAAUCGAGUGUUCUUGACAAGUCUUUGAACCCUGGAUUGGACAGUAUAGGAGUUCGUGUACCUGAUGCUGACUUUAUUCGGCUGAUUUCACGUAGAUCAGAGACAGCAUUAGCUCUUACAAGUGCUAAUUUAAGUGGACAACCAAGCAGUGUUUGUGUUAAUGACUUUGAAAAUCUAUGGCAACACUGUGCCUAUGUAUACGAUGGGGGUGUUCUUCCUGCUGGACGAGCAGGCUCAACGAUCAUCGACCUCACUGAGCAAGGCACAUUUAAGAUUAUAAGAGCUGGAAGGUACAUUUCUUCUUGUGUUUCUUCUAUUUACCGUAAAAAGUGAAAAUAGUCUUCUAUUGCAAUGACUUUGUCCUUUGAUUCUGAAGUUGUGAUUCAAAAGAUAGCAAAUCAGAAGUGAUUAUGUUUCAUUGUGAUAGUUUUCUCAUGAUGUUCACUGUACAUUUGCAGUGCAGAGGAGCAGACUAUUGCAACACUUGAAAGGUAUUCACUAUUAGAAGCAGCAGCUACUAUUUGAACAUCUGAAUCUAAUCAUGUUCCUAAGCAUCUGUUCAUUAUCAUAGAGGUUCCAAAGUUAUUUCGGUAGGGUGAUUGACUAGAAGAAAAGUGUUUUUCAAAAAGUUUUUUCUUUCUUUUUUUUAACUCUUUUGAUGAAAAGGGGUUUAAAAUAGAUUUUUAAAGUGUUUCAUAAGUCUGUUAUUUUUAAUGAUUGUCAAACACGUCAAAUUUUUUUCUAAGAUGACUUAUUUUCAAAAUAUCAAAACCCAAACUAGAUCAGGUCUAGAUUAAGUCUUGCUUUACCAUUUCCUUUUUAACCACCAUAUUUCCCACUUUCACUGAAGUUCUUGAUUUGAUUUGUAUGAUUAUGUAACAUUUGGAUACGUAUUAUGAUGAGGAAUUCACUAAUACUUGGAAUGAGAAGAACUUUCAAAUUUGCCUAGGACUUGUAGUGCAGUGAAGAAAAUUACAUACAAAAUAUGGUGGGAUGGAUAGGGUAUUAACAUUGUUGCAUCGAGAAAGAUAUUUUAACUUAUAAUGAAUGUGUUUUAUAGUAGAGUUAGGUUGAAUUGGUAAUAAUUGUUUGUGUUUGGAGAGUUAAAGGGGAUUGUUUGUGUUUGGAGAGUUUAAAGUGGAUGAGUAAAAAAUGGAGAGUUAAGUUGAUAGAGUAAAAAAAGUCUCAUUUUCAACUUAAGAUAUCAACUUAAAAACUUUGUAUAUAUUUUACAAUUUCAUGCAUUUCACCAUUUUAAAUGAUCGAGGUAGACAAAAUACUAAUUUAAUUUUUAUAAUUUUAACAAAAUUACUAUAUACUUUAACAUUUCACAUUUGAACAUCAUAAUUGUUUUUAAUAUUAUUGUAUAUAAAUUUUGAAUGUUCAUUUUUUUUCUCUUUACUUCUAUACUUAGAUGGGUUGUAUCAACUUUAACCUUAUUUUUUUUUAUUUCAUUAAUUUAAAUUUCAAACUUGGCAAAAUUGUAUCAAUUCUAACCUAACAUAGCAAUUUAAAAUCUAGGGUUGUUAGUUAGAAAUGGUAUUAAUUUAAAAUUUUCCUUUAGAAAACAAAAAAGAAGAAGAAAAGAAAAAUAUCUCAAAGUUUGAAAUUUAUGAAAAUUAAAGUUGAGGAUAGCUGAAACCUAGAAGUGAGUAUGAUAGAUCAAAAAAUCGAGUUGACUAAACAAAAGUAGUUGAGUUGAAGUAAAAUUUGAUUCUUGAAGCUUAAAAGUAAAUCCUCAAUUGAAUUUGUGAAGUCUUUACAAACGAAUUAUUUGGAUGUAGUUGGUGGAUAUUGAUUCAAGAAGCUCAAUCAAAAAAAUCUUUGAGCGAGAAAAUUAUAUACGAAAGGGAUGUUCUUCAUUCCAUGACAAGACGUCUAAUCAAUUUGGAUAGCCUAAGUUUGACUUGUUGAUUUAUCUUUAAUUUGAGAAUGGUAACCUUUUCGCAUGCCUAAUGUUCUAAUUAAUGAACAUGCAUAAAUCAAAUCUUGUUACCUAAGCAAUUGAUGCACACAACAAUUACACAUCAUACAUCAAUUUCUAUAACAACAAUUCACAAACAAAUCCUCAGGUUAAUUUCAUUACCAAGAUCAAUUAAUGGAGUUUAUCUAUUCAAAUAACUAAAAUUUUAAAUCCUUACUCACAAAACUAGAUUCUACCCUACACACCCUCCAAAUCAUUAGUAGAAAACUAUUAUCUUAGCCCACUUCAUUAGCUCUCUAAUCUCACCCCCAUUUGUAUGAAUUUACAUAAAAAUAGUGGAAAGAGUAAAAUAAUGAGGAAUGGGGUUUGAAAGAUUAGUUGAUUUUAAGGUGGAAAGAAAGCUUACAUAUAGAUUAUCAGUUGUAUUGUGAAGCUAAAGUGUAUUAUAACAUUAAAUUGAUUUGCAUUGGAAGGGUUGCCAUACUUGGUAGAACCUUUUGAUGACGUUGAAGUGUUGGAGUGUUUUCUUUUUUAUAAGUUUUAGGGAUGAGCUAAAUUUUGAUUAUUUCAAGUUUAGGAGAGCAUGUGGAAUAUUUUUGCACGAUUAUAUCCGUGUGUUGAUUAUGUUGUAUGUCAAGAACAUUCAAGUGAGAUUAAUAAUUAUAUUUUGCUUAGUUUUCGAGAGUUUUGGAUCAAGGAACUUGUUCUUUGUCUCAAAAUCUUUGAUCCUAAAAGAGAUGUCAAUUCUAAUUUUUUAUAAUUAUUUUCGUAUCAAUUAUCGUUUUCCUCUAGUUCUAUACGAUCUUCUGUUUGUCUCAUUCAGUAAUGGAUUGAAGGGGAUCACUAGCUCACAUGCAUAUCUUGGAUCUUGAUACAUGGUGCUUGUUUAAGUAUAAGCUUCUUGCCAAGAAGUUGAGUAGGUUUAUCAUGAAUUACAUCAACAUGACUUGUAGAUUAAUCGAUAUUAUUAUUUAUUAGAAGAAGAAAAAAACUUUUCGUAUAUUGGGAACAACAAAAGGUAGAUCUAGACAUUACAACAAUGACUCAAAUGAGGCUACAAAUUGAGUUACGUUACUUGGGGCAUAAAUUACAAAAUAUAUCUUUCAUUUAACGUGUGUUUGGUUUGACUUUUCAAGUGUUUAAUUUUUUGUAAAUAUGUCAUUUUGAAAAGAAAUCAAAAUCUCGUACCAAAUUAAGAAAAAAUAGUUAUGUUAGAUUAAAAAGAGGUAAAAUUUGAUCGUAAGUCCAACCUUGGGAAUAAUAUUCAACUGAGGACCAAUUACCUUAAACUUUUCCAAUCUUUUGGGUGAGUUGCUAUCAUAUAAUGACUUAAUGAGAGACAUUAUUCAAUAACUCCCAUCACUGCUCCAUCUUUCACUAUCAACUUCAUAAAUAUGAACAAAACAACACAUAUUAUGUAUUUAUUGUAACCUCUCAUCCAAAAUUAAACUUUAAAAAAUGCUCAUCGGCUUCCUUUCUUUCGUAAUUAUUUGACUUUUAGUUUUUAGGUUUUCAAAAACUAAGUUUAUUAAUAUGCAUACGGCGGUAUUUUUAUGUUUUCAAGAGUUCGACAUUGACAUAUAGAGAUUAAUUGAUAUAUUUUUAUAUUGUAGAAAAAUCCACCAUACAUAAAAAAAGAAUCAGAAUACCACCAUACAAAUAUAAUAUAAAAUAAUAACAUAUUUACUUGUUUAAAAAUAAUAAAAAUGUUUAUUUAUAAAUUAAAAAUUUUAAAAAAUAUCCAUUAAAAUCAUAAUUUUUAUCGAAAUUUAAUUUAUGUAAAAUCAAGAUAUUGAUCUCAAUAUUUUAAAUUUUAGUAACUUUGUACUAAAAGAAUGAUACAAAAGUAGAACAACCCUAAAGUGGGUUUGGGAGUGAUAGUUAUUACACUCAUUUUAGAAAAAAGAUUUAGUUUACUGUUAAUUCAGAACUCUUGUUUUGAAUUGUUGUGUUAUAAAAGUUAAUUUAGAGUAAUGAAUUUAGUAAUUAUAUUUUAUUUGCUUAUGGUAUAUUUGAAAAUUUGCGUUUAGAGAAAAAGAGAAUAAUAUGUAAACUCUUUCCUUUGUCAUAAUUCUAUUGAGUAAUGAAGAAAAAAAAAGAAAAAGAAAAGUGAGUGAGUGAGUGAAUAUUCAAAUUUCAAAGUUUGAAAACAUGAAAGACGCGCAAAGUAAAAAUUCCAGAUGAGAUGGCGAUUACACUUUUUCUGCUUCUCCGUCUUCCUUCCAUCAAUCCCAAACCAAACCCUUUCUUUAUAACUCUCUCUCUCUUCCGCCAUUAUCACUGACUACAAAACGACCUUCAUUUCUUCUUCCUUCUUCACCCCAUUUUCAUACCCAUCAUCAACAAUAACAACAACAACAACAACAACAACAUGGAGAAUGAUUCUUCUUCCGCCAUGGAUAUCAAAGGUACUCCCACUUACGACUCCAAAUACUUACUCUACAAUGUUCUUGGCAGCUUCUUCGAGGUCUCCGCCAAAUACUCCCCUUCAAUUCAACCUGUUGGACGUGGUGCUUACGGCAUUGUUUGGUAAUUCAUCUCUCUUCUUAUUCUUAAUUCCCCAUUUUCUGCUGCUGAUUUUUGUGGUUUCAGUUCUUGUUAUGUUUAUUUCUACGUGGGUUUUCUUUGAUUUUUUUGGUAACUUGUUUAAAUUCUCCUGUUGGGUUGUUUUCAGUCAUGCCCAUUUUCUCUAUUUGUGUUUGGUAACUCUAUGUUCUGAUUCUUAAUUCCCCACUUCUGCUGUUGGUUUAAGUAUUUCAAUUUUUAUUGUUUUUGUUGCACAUUUAAAUUCCCAUGUUGGUUGUUUUCUGUCAUGUCCAUUUUCUCUCUUUAUGUUUCGUAAUUCUCUGUUCUGUUUCUUGAUUCCCCAUUUCUGCUGCUGAUGCAAGUGUUUCGAUUUGGGGGUUUCUUUGAUUUUUGGGUAAUACGUUUAAAUUCUCAUGUUGGAUGGUUGUUUUCAGUCAUGCCCAUUUUCUCUAUCUUGAUGGAUGAUUUGUUAUUUGCUAAGAUUUUGAUGAUUUUCUUGUUCAGUUGUACGACUAAUUCCGAGACAAAAGAAGAGGUUGCGAUUAAGAAGAUUGGGAAUGCUUUUGAUAAUAGGAUUGAUGCUAAGAGGACGCUUCGUGAGAUUAAACUGCUUUGCCAUAUGGAUCAUGACAAUGUAUUUAUCUUAACUGAUUCUCUGUUUCAUGCUUACCUUGGUUUGCUUUGUUUAAUUUCUUUAUUUGGGUCUAGAUUUUGCAAUAUUUAACAUCUAUUUAUCGUUAUGACUAGUUCUUCAUAACCGCUGGAUCUUUAUGUUGAAUUUGAGUUUAAUUAAUGAGGCAAAACGUGUGGAUUAUUACUUUUAUAGGGAAGAGAAUUUCUUGUAGCUAUUCCGUGAAGCUUAUUGUUGAAUUCUUAAGCUUGUGAAAGCCUUGUUUCUUCUUCAGCUGUACUUUCUUUUUUGUCAUUAACAGAUUUUCUUAGGCGUUUUGGUACUCAUUUAGUUUUUUGUUUUUGAAAGUUGAGCCUAUUUUCUCUCACUUGCAUAUCACGGUUUUCACUUUCUUUAAAUAAAAAAAAUAGUUGAAUUCUUAACCAGAUUCUAAAAACAAGUUUUUAAAAACUACUCUUUUAGUUUUCAGAACUUGGUUUAGUGUUUGAAACAUGGAUAGAAAAAUAGAUAAUAAAGUAAAAUUUAGAGGCGGAAAGGGUAUCUAUAGGUUUAGUUUUUUUUGUUGAAGGAAUGAUUGCAAAGGUUCUGAUAUAAUCCAUGGAGAGUGAUACUGGGAGGCUUAUAUUAUUUUGUCAUUUAAGCAUAAUGAUCUCCUUUUUCCUUCUUCUCAGAUUAUAAAAAUCAAAGAUAUUAUUCCACCUCCAGAUAAGGAGAAAUUCAAUGAUGUGUAUAUUGUGUAUGAAUUAAUGGACACUGACUUACACCAGAUCAUUCGCUCUUCCCAGGCUUUGACAGACGAUCACUGUCAGGUAAUGGAUACUUAUCAUGCUAUCACUCAGGUUUACUUAGACACUGUUACACUCAAGUGAGAUAUUCGGAAAAGUCUGUUGUAAUAUUUAUGAAAAAGCACUAUUUGGAGUACACAUUUGUUGGAGCAACAAUCUGAAACAGUUUGAAUGAUCUUUAUGUUUGGUUAGAGAAUAUGUAUCUAGUUAAGCCUUUUAUUGUUUUUUGUUUGGACAGUACUUCUUAUACCAAUUACUGCGAGGUUUGAAGUAUUUACAUUCUGCAAAUGUCUUGCACCGAGAUCUUAAACCAAGCAACCUGCUCCUUAAUGCAAAUUGUGACCUCAAGAUUUGUGACUUUGGGUUAGCAAGAACAACAUCAGAGACAGAUUUCAUGACGGAAUAUGUUGUAACACGAUGGUAUCGAGCCCCUGAGCUACUGCUCAACACUUCUGAAUACACUGCAGCGAUAGAUAUUUGGUCUGUUGGAUGUAUUCUCAUGGAAAUUCUUAGGAGGGAGCCACUGUUCCCUGGUAAAGACUAUGUGCAGCAAUUGGGGCUUAUAACUGAGGUAGUUAUUACUUAAUCAUUGCCUUCCAAGUUUCUUCCUGCUGUUUAAAAGUUUAAAACUAUGCAUGUGGCACUGAGGUGAUCUUAUUGUUUUUUACAAUGGUUAUUGUCAUAAACUACCUGAAUUAUUAUUUGAAUGUGUUGCAACUAUAGAUUUGUGGUGUUUCUUAUGGAAUUAUUUCUUUAUCAUUUCCUCAAAAACAGUUGCUAGGUUCACCUGAUGAUUCAGAUCUCGGGUUUCUUAGAAGUGAUAACGCAAGGAAGUAUGUUAAGCAACUUCCUCAUUUCCCAAAACAACCGCUGAUCGAAAAGUUCCCAGAUCUUCCUCCACUGGCUGUUGAUCUUGCAGAGAGGAUGCUACUCUUUGAUCCAAGCAAGAGAAUAACUGGUAAUGCACCUACCUUUGCAUCUAUAACAUUACUUAAAGAACCUCUUUUCUCUCUUUCCUACAUUUUCUUGAUAUGCGAUGUAUUUCUUAUUGUGUUUACAAGUGGAGGAGGCCAUGAAUCACCCAUAUAUAGUAAGUCUUCAUGAGAUCAAUGAAGAACCAACCUGCCCUUCUCCUUUCAACUUCGAUUUUGAACAGGCAUCCUUGGAUGAAGAAGACAUAAAAGAACUUAUAUGGAGGGAGUCUAUCAAGUUCAAUCCGAAUCACAUUUAGUUUCAAACAUUUUGCUCCUCGGUUUAUUGGGUCUUGAUUGAAGAGUUGAUCUGGUUUUGAAGAUUAAUCGAGUAUAGUAGUGUGAAUUCAUGUCGUGUCAGCGAGCGGUAAGUUGGCAACAAACAAAUAAUUCUUGUAUAUAAUCAUGGAAAAGAUUCAUUUAUCAGGGAUUAAAAGGGAUCUAUUAUUCACCUUCGUCUGGAAUCUUGCAUCCAGUGAAGGCUGGUGUGACAUAAAAAAGGCAGCGUCUUCCAUGGCCUUUGGAUCGAGCUUCUUUACCUGUGUUUUUUCAAUAUACUAGGAAGUGAAAUUUGUGACUAUUACAGGAAGACAAAAGAAAAAAACAGAUGUAAAAUUUAAUGGUUCUGCUCUUCCUGAAAUUGUUGCUGAUGUUUAAUACCAAAACAUACAGUUUUGUUUUUGAGAUGGAGAGUUCAUGUUGCCAAUGGAAUUACUGUUAUCAAUAUGCAAAGGUGAUUUUGUCUGUUUGUUUCGAGGCAGGCAGGGUUUUCAACAGGGAUAGCUUUAAGAAAUUUCAACUUCUAAGUUUUGUAGAACCCAAAGUUUAGUUUUGUUUCUUGCUCUUUAGGUGUAUGUUUUUGUUUUAACUAUGAAUAUAGUAGAUUUGUUAGCAGGUAAAUGUAUUUAUUCAAAUUCCGAACUUUUACCGACUGUAUCAAUUAAAACAUAAUGGAGUUUAAGAGUUUGUUUGGUUUGCAAUUAUACUUUUGUUUUAGGUCUAUAAACUUGCUAAAUGUGUUUGGCAGAACGAUCUGAAUUCUAUUUUUUAAAAUUAUUUUUGGAUUCUGUAAUCGAAAGAGUGUAAAUUUUGAAACCUACAAUUUUAUGUUUUGAUAGCAUCUUUAAUUUGAAUUUUAAAAUUUAGGGUUUAGAAUUAUAUUAAAUAAAAUUAAAACAUUUAGAAAUACCAUCUCAUUCUAUAAAUUCAAUUCUAUUUAAAAAAAACGUAAUUAUUAUAAAUUAGAUUCAAUCUCAAAUUUGUUCAUAUCAACUUGAUAUAUUUGAAAUUUUGUUGUAUUUUGUUAUUAUUUUGCUAUAUUUGAAACAACUCUAAUUUAAUCUUUAAAUUUUCUAAAUGUAUCCAUUUACGUCUUCCUUCUAAUUCUCAAAAGUGCAUAUGUUUCACUCAAAUAUCAAUUUUACACAAUGGAAGAUUAGAGUAAAUCAAUAUACAAUAGGUUCAUUUACUAAAGUUUAAAAGUUUAACUGAUACAAUUAAUUUUUAAAUUUCAAAUGAGUUUUCUUUCGAGAGCUAAUUGAAUUGUGUAAAUUGAUCGAUACACUUUACAAAAGUUCAAAGUUUUGAGAGGACGUUGGAUAUAUUUAGUUUAGCUUCGAGUUAUAAUAUAUUUAUUAUUUUCUAAAAGGAGAAAUUAAAUUUGUUGUUAGAGAAGUUUAGGAGGCAUUUGAAAUCUAAUGUAUAAAAGACGAUUUUGUAUACUCUCUCGCUCGAGCUUGUGAAGAUUCAAAAUCAAAACUUUUGCCACUACGACUACAGAAUGAGCUUCCGUUUCCUCACAAAGCAGCUGCGGAGCCGAAUCAGAGCCCGUAUAUCGCCAUUUUCCUCCAUUUUCUUGCGUUCAUUCUCACAAUUCUCCAGGUUCUUACUCAAUCUCUUUCUUUGUGAAUCCAAUCUUUCUGUAGUCACUUGAUUGAGAGAAGAAACGACAGUUUCUGUUGUAAUUUACGUUCUUUUUUUGCAGACCUACGUUUGGCAUUGCAUUCGACAUUGAUGGUGUGCUUCUCCGUGGCGAUGCUCCCAUUGGAGGCUCUCCACAAGCUCUCAGAAAGUUAUACGACGAUUCUGGCAUGUUUUCUUUGUUUUCGUAGCACAACUACGUUGAAAUGUUUGUUUUUCUCUUCCUCCCUUGUAAUGUAUCUUUGUUUAUUAUUGGCAGGUGUAUUAAGGGUUCCUUUUAUCUUCUUGACAAAUGGUAAUUUCUUUUAUCUUACUCUAGUUUUUAAUUUGAUGUGCUGGAAUUAACUAGGGGUUGUUCAAUGAUAUCAUUGUUUAACUUGGUGGUGUAAUAGUUAUAGAAUGACUGAUGAUAUUGAAUGCUACCAAUUUAUAUCUUUUAUUUGUAUUUGUUUGUCAAAUAGUUAAUUGCAUCAUCAUUGAUCAUGGCAUUUUCUUUGCAAUAGUGGGUAAAUGGCCUGUAAAUGAACUCAUCCUCGAUUGUUUUUAGAAGUUUCUGAUCUUCAUACCAUUCUGAUCUUUUUACAAGAGUUAUGAAAUCGUUCCUUUUUUUUUUUGUCUUUCUUAUUAGUAAUAAUGCAUUUUUCUGAAAAGUAGCUGAGCUUGAAGCACUUGGUCUAUACUUGUUUCAAUGAGUGAAGCCAAGUACAGUCUCUAGAAAUUUUUUGGUUGAAUUUAGAUAUGGAUUUCUAGUAGGACUCUGUUGAGGCACAAUUAUGUAUUCAGCUCUAGUUUUGGUUACUUCUCCAGGCGGAGGAUUUCGUGAAUCCAAGAGAGCCUCAGAUUUGAGUGAAGUUUUAGGCGUAAAUAUAUCACCUUUACAGGUAAGAUACUCUUUUGUCCUUUUUUUUAUUAACCCGGAAUAGUUUUGACCCAUUGCUCUGCUAACUCCAAGGAAUUUCCCAUUAUACUUAGUUUAUUGUGUAAAAUCCUUUCAUUUGGAUUUUGAACAGGUUGUUCAGGGACAUUCACCAUUUAAACACCUAGUGAACAGGUAUAGUUAGAUCUGAUGGGAAUUUGUGUCUAUUACAUUUAUUUUCUACCACUCAGAUGAAUGUUCAAACCCCAUUUGACACAUGUGUUGAUAACUUAAAAUUCCUGAAGAUUAUUUAUUUAUUGGAUAGAGAAAUGCUAUCCUUGGUUGAUGAUAAAGCUUUGCCGAGCUUUGAAAUGAAGAACAAGGCAGAAAAAAAUCUCUAAAAUUGAUGAUAAAGUGGCCCACACUUCAAUCUCCAUAUCUGCGAGAUUUCUUCUCAGAUGGGGACUUUGCAAUACCAUAUCUUUUAAUCAAACCAAAUUGUUUUUGAUAAAAUGGCUGAAGUUAUAUUUAUCUAAAGAUUGCUUCAAAUGCCUAUGCAAAUAUUUACAUUAAAAGGUUUAAACUGAUAAUUAAUGGUUGAAUUUAGCCAAUAGGAGGCACUAAAUUUUUGCUUCAUGCAAGGAUAUUAGAUAAGUUUGGUUUAACAUAAAACACAUACACAAUUUUAUCUUGUCUAAUAACAGGAAGUUGAUGCAAACCUUAAAGUACUAUACCUGAUUUUGCAUAUAGGCAGUAGCAGCCAUGGUGUGGUCCAGUCUACUUUGUCCAAAACUAAUGCAAACCUUAAAGUAUUAUACCGGAUUUUGCAUAGAGGCAGUAGCAGGCUUGGUCCGUCUACUUCGUUCAAAACUAAUGAACUAACUUCAAGUAGCAAUAACAGCUGUUUGUUGGUCAAGUAACUAACUUCAAGUAGCGAUAACAGCUCUUGGGUUAGUCAAGUAACUAACUUCCAAUGAGUUUGAUAUCAAAGACAUUGCAAUUUUUGCAUCAGAUAUGAAAACAAACUUGUGAUUGCCGUUGGAAAAGGAGAACCCGCUGCAGUGAUGUCUGAAUAUGGAUUUCGGUAAGCUUUUGUUCUGAAAAAAAUUGAUUGUUCUGUUUAUAUCAUAUCAACUUGGUGAACUGUUCCUUUCUAUAUGAGCUUUGUACAUUCUCUUCUCUUCAGGAAUGUUCUUUCAAUUGAUGAAUAUGCAUCCUUCUUUGAUAACAUUGAUCCUCUGGCACCAUAUAAGAAAUGGACGACUAUAAAAGGUGCUAAUCAUGAAAAAACUAUCGCAGAUCUAACUGAGAAGAAGAAAAUUUGCUCAGAGAAGGUUGAGGCUGUCUUCAUCGUUAGUGAUUCUGUUGAUUGGAGCAGGGAUAUUCAGGUUGCUUUCAGCUUUAUAUCUUUCAAGACAUGUUCUUGCAAUAAAUAAAGCUUUAUCUCAUUUUUUUCUUUCUGCUUUCUAUUGGAAAAAUUGAUCAUUUUUUCUCAAUUUUACUGAGCUUAAAUAAUUAGCUGUAAUGGCGAUAAUCCACUUCCUUUCUGUGUUUAGAAAAUGUAACUUCUUUAAACGUGCAGAACAAACUGAAGUAAGUGAAGAUUUUUUCUUCUCUUUGUUCCCUUCUUUCUGUGACACAUCACAUAAGGCAUCCAUCUAUUCAUGAAGCUUUUGGUUGCGUCUCUUUAUUCACCUAUUAUGUCCAUUUCAAGGAGUGAAGAGGGUAGGUGUCACGGGAAAAAAACUUGAACAAUUUUUUUACCUUGUUGUCUGUGCAUCCUAAGAGGUUCCACCCUUAGUCAGCUUUCCUAUUUGUUCAACAGAUUUUGGGACUCCUUUGUUAUAGCGCAAAUAGGCUACACAAAAGACACAUGCAAGGGCCAAAUACCGACCUAGAUUUUUCACCUUGCCCGCGGUGGCGCUAAGAGGUUCUCUAGGCUGGCCGCCCAUGUGCAUGGUUUGCAGGACUAGUUUGUGGGACAUCUCUUAGCCAGCCUUCCUCACCAUAGUGUGGUUCUCUCGUAAGGUUAGUUUGGAAGUAACCACUCUUCACAGCUGUCCCAAACCUCUCAUUUGGACAUUACUUACAACACCCUCUCACAAGGCUCACACAAUUAUUGUUGGACAAGUACCCUCUUCAUUCUUUUUUUUUUUCUAACAGAAACAACUUUCAUUUAAAAAUUAAAUAAUACAAGGGCAUCCAAAAAUACAAUCCCCAAACAGAAACAACUUUCAUUUAAAAAUUAAAUAAUAUAAGGGCAUCCAAAAAUACAAUCCCCAAAAAGGAACCUCAUAGAGAAAGGGUUUCUAGCUAGGUAAAAUAUUCCCUAGAGAGUAAUUACAAAAAACUGUUGAAAUAAAUUGUACUAAUGAUAUUUGUGUAAUCUUUAUACCCUUGUUUAUUUCCUUUUUUGUCAAGGCCCAUUAUGGCCUAUGUAUAUUCCCCCUGUAUUAUUUUGAUAAUAAGAUAAAAAAAAUAUACAACAGAAUCAUAUCGUGGUUUUUUCUCCUUGAACUAGGAUUCUCCACGUACACCUAGUGCUAUUCUUUCUUCUUCUCCUUUUACUAAUUUUAGUAAAACCUUCAAAACCAAAGUCCAAAGAGAAACAUGAAACAUCACCAAGGAUCAAACCUCGCAAAAGUUCCUUCCUAAACACUCUUGUUUCUCUCACUCCCAUAGAUCCCAAAUCACAGCACGCACUCUAGCACACCAAAGGAAACGUCUUCUCUCUUUGAAAGGUAAAUGAAGGAAUUCCCCAAUGACCAGAUGAAUGUUCCUCUUCAUACCCUUUUCCUGACGUGCUUGUGUCAUGCUUGGCUGAACCUCCCACUGUUUCUUAUCUCGUGAAACAGCCUUGUGACAAACCUCCCCUCAAUUAAGCUACUUAAUGUCCUUGUUGAGGCUAACCUCCAUCCUGUCCAUCAAAUAAGUGUCUAGGGUUGUGUCCUGACUGCAGUUGUUGCCAUCAUAAUAUGCUAGCCUCUAAACACAAGUUAAAAUAAAUUAUACCACUUGGAAAAACGUUUCAAUAAGAAUUUUUUUUCUCUUUUUACAAGAAUUGCAAGAUUAUUGCAAGCAAUAGAAACUAGAAAGAAAUUCCUAUCUAUAAUGGACCUACUUGCAUGAAACAAAACGUCUCUAACCCAACUUUGAAAAGUUUUACCCAACUCUCCUUAUUCUUAGUAGGCAUGCCCAUAUCUUAGCCAAUUGUUCUCCUUAGGAUUUAGGACGUUGAUUUUAUCUUGAGAAAACAAUUAGUUUAAUGUAUUGUGUUCUUGUUAUGAGGCUAUUCUUACUGAAGUGCUUUGUUUUCUAGUUGUUUCAUCUUUCUGAAUCUAAAUUCUAUGUAGUAUGAAGUUCUCUUCCAUUAGCAAUAACUACCUACCUGCCUAGGUUAUGCUACCACCGACAAUUUUAUUUUUUCCCCAUUUAUCACCAAUUGCGGUAAGUAGGAAUUACUUAAUUGGUGUCUUAUUUACUAAGUAGUGUUUGGAUUGGUGGUAAGAUUGUAGCCUUUUCUAGUUGAAUUGCAAGUUUAACAUGAUUAUCAAGUAUUAUUAAUUGUAAACCUAAUCCAAAAUCAUUAUUUCUGGCUCAUGCUUGCCUAUUUCAUUGCAUUUCUGCUCUCUAAAUCUGGAUAUCGACUAAAUAUGAGAAGACUAUAUUUGAAGUCAAAUUGUGGUAUCAGGUACUUUGUGAUAUCUUAAGAACUGGAGGUCUUCCAGGCAGGGAAUUUGGGAACCAACCGGACUUGUACUUUGCACAUGAUGACCUUGAAUACCAGGUUACUUCCAGUAAUUUUCUUAUGGAUUGUUUCAGAAUCGUUUCCCAGUGAUCCAGUGUUGCUGUUUUCUUCAUUUCUAACCCCCCCCCCCCCCCCCCCCCCCCCCCCCCCCCAGUACUUUCCAUUUUAUUGUGUUUUUAUGGGCCUAUUAUUUCAACUAAAUUUUCUUCAAGGCAGGCUGCUUUUCCUUGUGAGCGUUUUGGUAUGGGAGCUUUCAGAAUUGCACUACAAUCUAUCUACAAUAAGUAAGGAAAACAUCACUGUAGAUUUUAAAUGCCGUAUGUGUCUGGAAGUAGUUGAGAUAGUUGGUCGUGCUGUCACAUAAGUAAACGAUUGCAGUUAAAAUUUUUGCCUACCUUUUAAGUAAAAAAGUUGCCAAAUUGUCCCGCUAACCAAUAGAAGUUCAUGUUAAAAAAAUUUGUAAUCACUUUAGAAUAAAGAAGUAAGUUUAUGCGUAGGCACAAGUUUAUUCUACUACAUAAAUAUUUGAAAAGAAACUUGCAAUUAAAGUGAUAAUUAGAACAGGUCAUAGCCAAUUUUUUGUGCUUAGUUCGAUCAUGCUGGUGUUUCAUUCGUUCGGAACAAGAAUAUGCAUCCAAUUCUGUUUCCAUUUGUGAAGAAACCCUCCUGAAAUUUUAUGUGAUAGUUAAAACUUGAAAGUGAUACUGCAGGAUUCACCCUCAUGCUUUGCAAUAUACGUGCUAUGGCAAACCAAAUCCACUCGUAUUUCACAAUGCAGAAUCUGUACUUAAACUAGUGUCAUCAAUUCAUCAAAACAAGGUGGAUGUGAAUACUGAAACUCAUCACUUCAAGACACUAUAUAUGAUAGGGGAUAAUCCUUCUGUCGAUAUCAAUGGUGCAAUUCAGGUUAGGUGAUCUUAUUCUUUACUGGCAAAGAAGAAACCACUUGCGUUUAUACUUACCCAUUUUCUGUUGCUCACUGAAUAGACUUUUGAUACUUCUGUAAUUCAGGCUGGAAGUCCUUGGUUUUCUAUCAUGACUAGAACAGGGGUUUUUAAGGGAAAAGAAAAUCAUGAUAAGUAUUCAGCUGAUCUGGUAGGUUAAACAUUUCUCUCCACCCUAAUUUUUCUUUUUUAAAAUAUAUAUUUUUGGUCCUAGUGUGUUAGAGACUAUUGAAACUAAACUCAAAUCAUAACUAUAAAAUUGUAACAUUUUCAAAACUAGGAACUAAACUGAAAUUAAACUUAAAAUUUACAGAUUAAAAAUGUAACUUUUUGCAACCUAGAAACCAAAUAGAAACUAAACUCAAAAUCUUAAAAUCAAAAGAUGUACUUCUUUUCCCCUUUUUUAACUGUUAGGAAAGAAAAUGUUUUCAAGUAGAGUUUGGGUUUAGGGUUUAGCGUGUGAGUGCGGAUGAAAAAUGUUUUUACCUCGUUAAAGCACCGAGUGGAUCUUCAACACAGUGGAAAUUCUCGUAUUCUGUUAUGUACAUGUUCUUGCAUCUCAGAUCCCUUUAUAUAACUUGUCAGUCCCUUUAACAGCUGAGUGCCAAAAAAAUUCAUUACAUAUUAAAUUCUCGAUAGAUAACUAUCAUAGAAUGAGCUUGUUUCCUCCAACUCUUUUAUUAUAAACAUGUUUUUUGUUAUCACUAGGUCAAUCUAUGAUGGUUGAAUAUUUAUAGUAUUUUGUUGCAUCACAUGAAAUUUUAGAAAUACUUGAAAGCACUUUAAAAUACUCCUGUAGAGGAAGUACUUAAUUGUUAGUAUUAAAAACGCUUGGCUUAAAAGCAAAUUCCAACGUUGUUGUUGUGCAGGUAGUUGACACUGUUGAAGAAGCAGUGAACUUCAUUUUCAAGAAGGAAGGGAUCUCUUGAGAAAAACAUGAAGGGAAGGUUUAUUUUUUUGUCAACAUAUUGAUAAUUUCAUUAUUAUUGGUGAGAUUCUUAAUUACUUUCCUAAUUAAAAUGGCAGUUGUUCGACCAAUUUCUAUUGGAAAAAAAGUAUUUCUUAAUCAAGAUUAUAAUCUUUUCACAUUCGGAGUAUUAGAAGAAAUCUAUUUUUUAUUGGUUAGUAGUGCUAAUUAAUGGAAUUUAGGAAAAUGAAAAUUUUCUAUUUUUAAAUUACUUUUUGUUCUUUUUAACUUUUAUGAAUGAGUUAAAAAGGUCAUCUCUGUAUCAGAUGACUUGCUUCUUACAAACUUAUGAUAUACAACAUUUUGUUUGCAUCAUAACUUACUAUUGCAUUAGGGAUCAUUGUGUGUAUCAUCCUAGCUUAAGGAGUUAUCUCUGUUAGGGAAAAUAUAACAAACAUCUUAUAACAAAUCAUGUUAGGGAUGACCAUGUCACGAUAUUCAUUUUUCUCAACUAAAAGAUAACUUAUUGAGAAAAAAAAAAAGGAAAACACAACAAAAAUAAUAAAAAUUGUGAUUAGAAAGUCAUUGUGUUGGGUUACAAUCUAUUGAUUGAUAAUCUGUGUUGGUUUCGGUUAAUGUGGCUAGUUUUCUUAAUAUCAUUGAGGAGACCUCUUGUUGGUCAUCCCCUCCCCUUGGCUUGUAUGAGGUGAUUUCUGACGUCGAUGUCUUGGAUAGUGAUGUGGGAAUCGGAGCUAUAUCCUUCAGCAUUCGAAUGGUGAGGUUAUACUUGCUUUGGAGAGUCAUUUUCUUUAUGACAAAGUUUUGUGGAGAUUGCUAAAGAUAUUGUCAUGUUUAGUGAUAUUUCAUACGCUAUUGAGGCUAACACCUCUCAAUUGUGAGUUAAAAUUUAUUCCAAAGUUUUCUCACAUCUUUUUGUUGGAAAUGCUAGAUGUACGAACGAAGUUUAAACUUUCAUUGAUUUUAUUAGAGAUCUCUAUUUUAGUGGUUGUAUUAUAGACGUACUUUGGACUAACCAUUGCUGGAAUUUGGUUGUUCAUGACCUAUUUCCCAUGCUUGUCGUUUUGGAAAUUUUGCCACGUGGCUCAAAGAACAUCCUCUUUAAGACGUUCUUUUGUUUCUCCUUUAUUGUACAAAAAAAAAAUACAAUACACAAUGAUCAUUUCUAACGCUAUAUGUUAAAAAAAAUGUGAUAAUUGGUUAUAGCGUACGCAAAAGGUGAUAUAUCAAAUUUCUCACUCUUAUAUUCCAUUAGUAAUUCAGUGCAUAGCACACACCAUCACUUAAGUUAAAAUUGUAGUUUAUGUUAGUAGUGGUAUAUCAAGAUAAAAGUUCAAGAAAAAUCUCUCUAAUAUAUCAAAUAGUUUUUACAUUACUUUAUCUAAAUAUUUUUAACUACUUGAAAAGAAAAGCCAAAAUAGAAAUUUGUGAAAUUUUUAAACGUAAAAUAUAUGAUUGUCUAUUCAAACAUAUAUUCAUUUUUAGAUAUCGAUGAUUCAUAUUUAUUAACAAAUUACUCAUACAUGAAAAUAGACUCCUUUAACCUAAAUAGUAGUAAGAUGACCAAAGUUAUUACUAUUCAUUCAAACAUAUCUUUAACAUUAGAUUGUAGUUUUUUAUCUUUAUGGUUUCUAUCGGAUUCAUUCAAAAAAAUAUAUCACUUUGAUCCCAAUAGUUCUAAUAAAAGAAAGAUAUGAUUGUUCCUUCAAACAUAUCGUUGUGAAAUGGUCUACAUUACACGUGUACAUUAAAAAAAUACACCACUUAGAGCAUAACUAUCCCAACCUGAGAAACAAGAGAAUUAAAAAAUGAAAUUUAGAGACAAAGUAGAGAAUUAUAAAAAAAUGAAAUUUAAGGGUAAAAUAAAGAUCCUAUAGCCUCUUUUACAUGUAAUAUAUGUUAUUAUUAUUACGCUAAUGUGGCUGAAACUUAUAAGUUUCAUAUUUAUUAAAUGGUUGCGGUGACAAAAAUUUAUAGAAAAUUUAUUUUAAAUGACAAAAAAUUUACAAAUAUAAGAUAAUUUUACUCCAUCGACCAUCACAGAUGUCCAUUCAAAUCUAUCGUGAUUAGUCAUCAAUAGAGAACAAAAUUUACAAAUAUAGUUUGUUUUUAUUUUAAUAUUGAUCAUUUUUCUUUCCUUCCAUCCUCACAACCCACCUCAUCCUAUAGCUGCUACUCCUUUACUGAUUUCAUAUUGUUGCUGCCAACGCUCUCGUUCCUCUUUUCUAUCUGAUGGUCAUCCUUCCUACAUGAGUUCUCGAUGCUAGAGGUGCCCAUGGCAUGAACAAGGAGUUAAAUUUAUGAACUUCAAUCAUACCAUAUGAUUUGAUGAUAAUAUACGGUGAUUUUACUUUAUUGUAGCACAAGCUUAAAUUUUAUGUUUUACAUAAUUAAUGUUAUAACCAAACGGUUAGUAUAUGUGUCUAUUUUGGCUAUCUUGAGAAAGAAUGUCAUGAAUCUUGAUCAAGAUUUAUGAUGUAGAUAGAGUAUCUUACAUUUCUAUCUUGUUUGAGAAGAAGAGUCCUUUCGAAGGUAUAAUCGACAACUCACAAAAUUAAUCUCGCUUGAGAAUUUACUAGAAGGUAAAAGAUAGAAAUAUGAUGGAUCUUAAUCUUGAGCGUGAUCUUGGCCCAAGAUUCUUCAUUCUUUUGAUGUCACUUAUUACCUCAAUGUUGUUCUCAAGUUACAUUGUCACCGAGAUGAAAGGAAGAACGUGAGGGUGUUGGCUGCUUGACUAUGGAGAAUUCAAAGUACUUAUUAUUGUAAAUCUUCUUUCAGUUUCACCUUGCUUCCUUUUUUCUUUUUUUGUUUAAAUCAUUGGAUAUACUCAAUGCCCCAUGUAUCAUAAUUUAUUUUUUAUAAUAAAAUUUUAUUAAAUGAUUUCAAGUUUAUUUUUCUUUCUUUCUUUGGAACCUAAUUUAAUCUUAGUUUAAGAUUUCUUGUAGGAUAUUUAGUGAAACUUUUACAUUCAUUUACUGCUAAAUAUAAUCUAUUUAAUUUUCAUAAGAAAAUGUUAUUAACAUUUUCAAAAUGUUUGAUUUUAAAUUUUUUGAAAUAUAAAAUGGCUUUCCUUUGGAUGGGUUGUUUAUUUCUUUAUUUUUUAUUUUUUCAAAACAAUACUAUAGUUCUUCAAACAAAAUUCUAGUUUAAACUAAGUUUUGAAUUUUAAAUAAAUCUCAAACUUUGGUCCAAUUUUCAUGAGAUCUAAAAUUGUCUACAAACCAAAAUUUUGUUAUAUGUUUUUUUUGCACAUUAAUAUAUAAUAGUAUCAAUUUCUAAUAAACUUUUUGGAAGAGAAAUAUUUAUAAGAAGGAUCCAAACAUAAACGUACAAUAUUAUCACUCACAAAACUCAACUAUGUUUUAUCAAAUUUAGGAGAGACAUUUCUUCCAUUCAAAAUUUAACUUUUUUUUAUAUAUUUAUUUAUCAAUUUUUAAUUCAGCUCUAAAAAAUAGAGUAAAACAAUUUCAAACGGAUGUUGUAGAGUUUUAAUACCUUCCCUACACUCAAUAGCCCCCGAACCCAUAUUUGAUAAAAUAAGACUAGUUUUACUUUAAAAUAGGUGACCAAUCACACUCUAAAUCGAUUGGAAAAGACUCCAAACCUUUCGUCUUGAAACAAACCAUAUAGGGUAGGACAUCGGUCGCUCCGUAUCACGACAACAUUGCAACACUUGUGAAUUGGUUUGGAUGUCAACUUUUUGUUAAAUUGAGAUUUGAUAUAAAGCAUCAACCAAAUUGUGGUGUGAUAAUCAAGGGGCACUUAGGGGCACUUCAUAUCACAUCUAAUCUAAUAUUCCACGAUAUGACUAAACACAUUGAGUUGAUUAUCUUUUUGUAAGUAAGAAAAUUUAACACAACUUGGCAUGUAUAGGGUAGACUAGAGAAUAUUUUGGAGAUUUCACCAAAGCGUUAAAUGAAGCACACAUAAAUUAGCUAUGUAAUAAGUUGGUCAUGAUUAACCUAUAUGGCUCUAACUUGGGGGAAUGUUAUAGUUCUAACAUUAAUAUUAAACACGUUCACAUAUCUUCGUCAUAUUGUCUUUAUUGUUUUUUUACUUCUCCUGCCUAGAUUAAACCUUGUACACUUGUAUAAUUAUACAUCUCUUCAAUGAAUGAAAUAAACAGAUUUUGAUUCUUUCAAAUGUUAUGGAGUUUAUGUAGUAGAGUUCCUUGGAUAAACAAAAUCCAUAAACAAAUUUCACUUUAUUCUUCAAACUUCAAACCAUAGAAGCUUUACAAGUGAAUUAAAUGCUAUCUCUAGCAAUUUGAGCAUUCUGUUUUUAGUUUUUACAACUCAAAAUGAGCAUAUCACUCUAGUUGGCUUUCAUUGGAUGAUUAUAUGGUCUUCAAUUUCUUUGGAACAAGAGGUGUAUUUAUUUUAAGAGCUUAGUAUUUAACUCGGUAAACUUGAAAAUUACCUACAACCUAAAGCAUGAUCCUGGAAAAGAAAAACCAAAUGUAAACCAAUGUCAAAAGAGUUAGAAUUUGAUAACCUGUUUAGGUUGGCUUCCCUGUUUUCCAAGCGCCUUGUUGAGUGCAAUGUGAAAAUUGUCAAAAGGAACCACCUCCAUCCUGCAACACUCACAAACUCCAAUCAAAUAUAAUACCACAAAAGGAAGCCAUUUCAUAUUAGUAUUUUGUAUUUUAAAAAAAAAAAAAAUUAAGUUCUCUAUUUGCCAGAUGCCAAUUUUCAUAAAUAAAAGAUUAGGUAUAAAUGAUACUUGGAUUCUAGUACUUUUGGCGUUGGCAUAGCAUUUUCAAUUUUUUGCAACUUUUGUUCAUUUUGGACCUCCAAUAAAGUUGUUGUACAUAAGAAAAUAUAACCGCUAUGUUCCUUCUUUUUAAAAUUCUAUACAUAAUGGCCCUUUAAUAUAAAAUACAUAUUUAUGGCUACAUUUUAAGAAAUGUAGUGAAUAGUGUAAUACUAAUAUUUCUAUUUGAACAAGUGGAAUAAACAUGAAGAUGAACGAACCAAAAUAGUUACUUUUAAAAAUAUUAGAAUCACAAUGAAAGAAAGCAAGAUGUAUAAGGAUUAAAAUGAAAGCCAAUGACAAGUUUUUGCAAUAUCAACAGAAGCAGAUACAUACUCGUAUUUUAACUUCUCUUGACGAGCCAAAUCCAGUAGGUAAUCUAUCAACUUCCUGCUCUCGUUUGCUUUAUCUAUACCCAUCAAUUUUUGCAACCAAAAUCCCCUCAGAGAAACAUCCUGCACACACAUAAGUUUCAGAAGUCUUCGGGUGCUAGGCUUAAACUUUUUUAUUUUUCAUUCCCUUCUAACCUUCGUUACAUUGGAAAUUAGUGUUUGAUAUGACCAUCUUUGGCCAGUCGAUAUCUUUGGUUUGAAAAUUGACUGAUCAGUUCUCUACCUCGCAGACUACAAAUGGAACUUUGUAUAUGUAAUGACCAUUAACUAGCAAAAUAUCCAUAUAUACAUACACAUACUAAGAACUUCCAAAAUUUAUCCAUCGUGUAUUAAUAUUCUACAUUUUAAAAAAAAAUCCGAAUUCUUUAAUUAUUUCAAUUUUUAGAUAUACUUCACAAGAUUUUAGCCAAAACCCUGAAAACCAUAAGCUGUUUUUUUUCUUUUUUGAGAAUCCUCUUCCAUCUUUUGGACUCAUUAUCAUAUCUCAAUUACGAAUCGAAUUGGCUUAUUCUCUCUACGAGAAAUGACAAGAAGUACAGCAAUCAUUUAAGAGGAAAGGUUAAACCCUGAAGAUCUCUUGGCAGUGAAUCAUCAUCCACAAGUCUAAUUGAUUGUGCUAAUAUAUCCCCAAUAUUUGUCCAUUCGGAAUUUGUCUAUUCAAUUGCCAAGUACUUCAAAGUUUAAAUUAGAAAUUCCUAAAACCAUGUAAUCAAGUAACUACAACGAUGGCCAUCCAAAACAAAUAAGAUAAAAGCAAAAGAUCAUUUACCUUAAAAAUGAAAGAUGAGGUCGACACUGUAAUUGGUUUCUUAGACAUGCCACCAUACGUUACCAUUGUUCCUCCUUGCCUGGAAACAAACACAUCGUUGCACCAUGAAGACAAUCUUAGACCUAUAUUGAAACAAUAAUCAAUGAUAAAACAAAUCGGACCUCAAGAACUUGAGAACCAAUGUGGCAGCAUUGCCUCCAACACAGUUAAAUCCCAAAGCAGGUUCAGGAAGGUUAGCCUAGCAUGUAAAUAAAUCAUUUUAGCGAGAAAAGAGAGAGAGAGAGGAAACAAAGAACAAGCGUGCUAACAGUAACUGACAGCAGAAGUUUAUUGGAUGUCUUUCUACAACUGUCAGUUCCUCAGCUUCUACUAUCACCAAAAUUCAAAUUUAUAUGGAAAAUGUUUUCUAAACUAGUAGGUUUGGUUUUCCCUUUAAAAACAGCAAAAUUAUGUUAGAUACCUAGAUUAGUACAAGGGCAGGGGUAUAAGGGUAAUUAGAUUGUUGGUAGUUAGAUGGUUAUAAAUAGGAAGUUGGGGGAGGGAAGAAAGGCAUGAAGAUUUUGGUGAAGAUAAUGGGCUGCAACAUUCCUUGAAAGAAAGGAAGAGCAGAGGGUUAGGGUUCCUUUAAGUGUUCUUGAGUUUCCUUUUACUUCUUGUUCUUUUAUAUUGUAAUUUCUGUUUGAGAUAUCAAUAAAGAAGAAACACUAUAUCAAUGUUCUAACAAAUUAUCAAUUUCUUUCUCCCUUCAUUCUGGAUAUCUGGUAGAAUUUUUCUUUUGCACUCUCGGGAACUCAAACUUUGUUUCUAAAAGUCUCAUUGUAUUUCCAUAAAAUCCUUAAAAACAUAUCCUCUGAAUUCACUCCUAGUUAAUUGUUACCUACAAAACUAUAAUAGGAAAAGUUGUUCAGCGUACCAAGAGACUCUUAACAUUCUUUACUUCAAGCUGACUCUCACUGAAAAUUUCAUCAGCUCCAAGUCUCUUAAGUUUUUCUUUUGAUUUGUCAGACCCUGCCCUACAAUAACAAAGAAAAAGAUGUUAAUAACAGUAGGACUCUUUAAAGAUUGCUCAACUGAAAAAAAAACUAUGGAAAAGAUUGCUUAACUGAAAGACAAACUAUGAAUAAAAUUGAACCAUAGUGACUUCAAAUAUAAAAUAUAGAUACACGUAAAAACAAAUAUAGAUUUCCACAAGUUUAAAAAGGAGCAAAAGUAUAGUUGAUCCUCAGCACCUAUCACGUAUGAUAUUUAUGCUAUGGAUGCCGCGAAUCUUAGCGAGCUGAAUUAUACAUUGUCCAACUAUGCUUGUCGCUCCAUUUUGAACAACCGAGUCUCCUAUAAGAAUCCUAUAAUUGAUUAUGAAUGAGCUGAUAUAGAGGAAGAAGAACAUCAAAAUUUCUACAAAAACCAAACCUGCUUUUAAAGAGACAAAAUCCUCCAGCAUUCUCAGAGCAGUCAAAGGAUUAACUGUAACAGUAGCAGCAUAUUCCAUGGGUACUUCCUUGUUGAUUUUGUGCCAAACACUCUGAUCUUUCACAACAUAAGUCUGCCAUGUCCCUAUGUAUAGAAAUCAACGAAUGACAUCAAGUACGGUAAUGGUUGCCUUUCAGAUAUUCUUGUUCAGCUUUUGAUAAUUUCAAGGAUUUAGCACCCAUUUUCUCAUUUCAGUUUAUCCUUUUUAUGCUCUAACUAGCAACUUCUACAGUAAUCACUUCUUGGAGAUGGAUUCUUUCUUUAUUUCAUCCAUCAAUAAAACGUUUCUACUUUCCAAAAAAAAAAAUCCCUAAACUAAUUGUUCGUACAAGUAGUUUGACAGAGCAAUUUAUAUGAAAUGUUAUGUAGAGAGAUUUUCAAGCCCUUUGAAUAACUGUUCACAAGUUCACAAUUAUAGAGUCAGUCCGAGCAUAGUUUAGUAGAUAAGGCCCCAAAGUCCACAAUUACCAAGGAAUUAACAACUUCAAUAAUUCUAGAAAACAGAUUGCUCAUCACAAUAAACCAAGAGAAAUGUACAUUGAAACUAUUGUUACACAACGAUUCCCCAAAAUCAUUGCCUUCAAAUACCAUGUUACAGGAGUUAAUGGGACAAAACAUUACCCGUAAAAUUAAAUUUUCAAAAUUCCUCCUUUACCAAUUUUUGGGGUUAAAGAGCAGAGGUGUACCAGAAGAAGGUGGAGAUGGGAUAACCCAAUCACCAGGUGAAAGACCCUGAACAGCGUUGCCCACUGAAUGCACUUCACCAACUCCCUCAUAUCCUCCAACAGCCGGCACUUCGGGCCUCACAGGGUAUACACCUAAAAUUCCUCAAAAUCUCUAACAUCAUCAUCAGAACCUAAGAAACGUCCUUUCAACCUCAGAAAAUCAAAUCCAUUACAACUCCAUAUUAACAAUAAUCAAUUGCUUCGAAAGUAACAACCAAUUAUACCUUCAAUGCGGUUGAUAUCGGAGGGGUUGAUCGGAGCCGCCAGCAUUUUAACACAGACGUCGUUAGCUUUCAUUUCAACCGGCGGUAAGUUAAUCACUCUGCACCAAACCAAAGGGUCCCGGUUGUAAAGAGAAAAGGUUUCCAAGUCAAUUUAGAUUAAAAUGGAAAAGAAUGAUAACCUGGUAACGGUGUCUGGAGGACCAUGGAGAUCGUAGACGACGGCUGUGGAGGGUGGAGACAUAAUCACGGAGAAAGCUCGUAUGGUUCUUGAAUUUGAUGGGAUAUGGGUUCGAUGGAAAAAGAGACGUGAUCCAUUGAUGAAUUUGAGAGCUACCAACGCCAUUAGUUUUGAGAAGCUCGAUAUAGAUGGCAAUGGAAGAAAGACAGUCUUCAAUCUCUCGUCUAAUUUCUUGUUGCCACUGUGAGGGAUUGGCUAAUGGCUUUCCAAAUUAAUUGUUCAAUGGGCAGUAAAUUAGGCUCGGUUGAGUGGAGUAUAAUAGCUUGCUUCUAUGGCUAUGUGCUUUUGGUAUCGACCCUUGCAACCAACUCGGAUGGCCAAUUCUAGUGAAGGUUUACUCGACUCACAAUUUCAUUUUAGGUAACUAGUUCUUACAACAAACUUCCAUUGUCAACUUCAGUGAACACUUCCUCACACUCCCAAUUUUACCAACAACUAGUUUCGACAACGUCACCUUCGACAAC
rnacentral:lncRNA from 1 species